UAGGGAAUCUUCCACAAUGGACGCAAGUCUGAUGGAGCAACGCCGCGUGAGUGAAGAAGGUCUUCGGAUCGUAAAGCUCUGUUGUUGGUGAAGAAGGAUAGAGGCAGUAACUGGUCUUUAUUUGACGGUAAUCAACCAGAAAGUCACGGCUAACUACGUGCCAGCAGCCGCGGUAAUACGUAGGUGGCAAGCGUUGUCCGGAUUUAUUGGGCGUAAAGCGAGCGCAGGCGGAAUGAUAAGUCUGAUGUGAAAGCCCACGGCUCAACCGUGGAACUGCAUCGGAAACUGUCAUUCUUGAGUGCAGAAGAGGAGAGUGGAACUCCAUGUGUAGCGGUGGAAUGCGUAGAUAUAUGGAAGAACACCAGUGGCGAAGGCGGCUCUCUGGUCUGCAACUGAUGCUGAGGCUCGAAAGCAUGGGUAGCGAACAGGAUUAGAUACCCUGGUAGUCCAUGCCGUAAACGAUGAGCGCUAGGUGUUGGGGACUUUCCGGUCCUCAGUGCCGCAGCAAACGCAUUAAGCGCUCCGCCUGGGGAGUACGACCGCAAGGUUGAAAC
rnacentral:rRNA from 1 species